rnacentral:piRNA from 1 species
UAAGCUCUCUUCUGAUGGGACUUGGC